rnacentral:rRNA from 1 species
UACGAAGGGGGCUAGCGUUGCUCGGAAUCACUGGGCGUAAAGCGCACGUAGGUGGGUCGUUAAGUCGGGGGUGAAAGCCUGUGGCUCAACCACAGAAUGGCCUUCGAUACUGGGACGCUUGAGUAUGGUAGAGGUUGGUGGAACUGCGAGUGUAGAGGUGAAAUUCGUAGAUAUUCGCAAGAACACCAGUGGCGAAGGCGGCUCACUGGCCCGAUACUGACGCUGAGGCACGAAAGCGUGGGGAGCAAACAGG